AUUGAACGCUGGCGGCAUGCUUUACACAUGCAAGUCGAACGGCAGCGCGGGCUUCGGCCUGGCGGCGCGUGGCGAACGGGUGAGUAAUGCAUCGGAACGUGCCCAGUAGUGGGGGAUAGCCCGGCGAAAGCCGGAUUAAUACCGCAUACGACCUGAGGGUGAAAGCGGGGGACCGAAAGGCCUCGCGCUAUUGUAGCGGCCGACGUCGGACUAGCUAGUUGGUGGGGUAAAGGCUUACCAAGCCGACGAUCCGUAGCUGGUCUGAGAGGACGACCAGCCACACUGGGACUGAGACACGGCCCAGACUCCUACGGGAGGCAGCAGUGGGGAAUGUUGGACAAUGGGGGCAACCCUGAUCCAGCCAUGCCGCGUGCGGGAAGAAGGCCUUCGGGUUGUAAACCGCUUUUGUUCGGGAAGAAAUCCUCUGGGCUAAUACCCCGGGGGGAUGACGGUACCGGAAGAAUAAGCACCGGCUAACUACGUG
rnacentral:rRNA from 1 species